ensembl:ncRNA K08A8.31 ncRNA
GUGGUCUCAAUUCCUCAACUCAAACAAAAAUAGCCGGAGCUGCCGCCGAGCAGUGUAUGAUCGAAUUUCGGUCGUCCACAGUCCGGCUCCGUGGCUCCUGAAGCACGCACGCGCGCACACUCUCAUACUCAUACACCGAAGUACGAGGUUUUGAUUGCUGUAGGGAGAUUUUGGAAAGUCAUUUGCCCGCCAAUCUUGGCCAGUGGAAAACAAC